AUAACUUGCUCCAGGAAUUUACCUCUUUGCAGCUAGCUCUUUGAAGCCCCACGGCAAGAAUUUAAAGUUUUUUUUUCCCUCUAGCCAUCAGCUGGGACUCAGAGGCAGCAAUAGAUUGGGAGUGGGCGGGGUAAGCGAAUGGCGACCGGGCGAUCCAACAGAGGCAGAGGGUGAAGAUUGCAGAACAUGGAAGAUUUCAAUUUCAAUUUCAGGAAGAUAGAUUUCAUUUGAAAAAUAAGAAAAAGAGCCAAUCAAUCAGAACAAAUUGAUUACAGAACUAAUUAAUCAGUGAAGUGAUGGACUUGCCUUUUCCUUGGAUGUAUUCAAGUGGAGCCGGGUCUGUCCAGAAGUAUAUUGAUUUGUAUUUUUUCACUGAAUAAAGGCAACCUAAAUGGC